rnacentral:rRNA from 1 species
GCGACCCCAGGUCAGAA